rnacentral:rRNA from 1 species
GAUGAACGCUGGCGGCGUGCCUAAUACAUGCAAGUCGAGCGAACAGACGAUGAGCUUGCUCCUCUGACGUUAGCGGCGGACGGGUGAGUAACACGUGGAUAACCUACCUAUAAUACUGGGAUAACUUCGGGAAACCGGAGCUAAUACCGGAUAAUAUAUUGAACCGCAUGGUUCAAUAGUGAAAGACGGUUUUGCUGUCACUUAUAGAUGAAUCCGCGCCGCAUUAGCUAGUUGGUAAGGUAACGGCUUACCAAGGCAACGAUGCGUAGCCGACCUGAGAGGGUGAUCGGCCACACUGGAACUGAGACACGGUCCAGACUCCUACGGGAGGCAGCAGUAGGGAAUCUUCCGCAAUGGGCGCAAGCCUGACGGAGCCACGCCGCGUGAGUGAUGAAGGUCUUCGGAUCGUAAAACUCUGUUAUUAGGGAAGAAAAAAUGUGUAAGUAACUCUGCCCGUCUUGACGGUACCUAAUCAGAAAGCCACGGCUAACUACGUG